AUUAAGUUUAAUUUAAUAUAGGAUCUGCUCAAUGAUUUAUUAAAUAGCUGCAGUAUUUUGACUGUGCAAAGGUAGCGUAAUAAUUAGUCUUUUAAUUGGGGACUUGUAUGAAAGAUUUGAUGAGAAAUAAACUUUAUUAUUUAUAUAAUUAAAAUUUUAUUUUUAAGUAAAAAAGCUUAAAUUUUUUAAAGGGACGAUAAGACCCUAUAAAACUUUAUAAAUGAUAGAAUUGAUUUUUUUGGAUUUAUAAAUAUUUUAUUUUUAUUUUUUAUUUUAUUGGGGUGAUAAAAAAAAUUAAUUAACUUUUUUUAAAUUUUAACAUUAUUUAAUGAUUAUUUGAAUUAAAAUUUUUAAUUAAAGGAAAAAGUUACUUUAGGGAUAACAGCGUAAUUAGUUUUUUAAGUUCAAAUUUAAAAAUUAGUUUGCGACCUCGAUGUUGAAUUAAGAUUAAUCUUAGGUGCAAAAUUUUAAGUAUUAGGUCUGUUCGACCUUUAAAUUCUUACGUGA
rnacentral:rRNA from 1 species